UGUGUGUAUGCGUGUGUGUGUGUGUAUGUGUAUGCUUGUGCAUGUGUGUGUAUUGAUAAAUGUGGUAUACUAUUCGAAAUACAACUCUGAAAGGAAUAAAAAAAUUUUCUCCAUCGAUUUGAUUCUGCUGAGUAUUGGAUAUUUGAUGUUAGAUGCUGUUGCAACGCUAAACUUUUCAACUAUUAGUUUUUCAGGAUAUUCAAAACAUUUUCAAUAUAUGCAAGUUGAGAGUUUCAAAAAAAAGUUAUAUUCCAAUUUGCUGAAAUUAACAACAUUUUAGUAGAUAUAACUGCACAGUUCUCUAAUGAUCCAGAAGAAGGUUUUACACAAUGUAAAAUUUCAGAUGAACUUAAUGUUUUGAAAAGAAAAAUUGCAAAUAUAGAUAUCCAAUACAUCGCUUUUGUAUUAGUAAAACAGUUAUCAUUAAUUAGCGGUAAAAAAUCGAGUAGAUACAAUUAAAAAUAUUUUGCUCUUACUACCAACAGACACUAUUUUGUCCAAAUACAGCAUGAAUGGUCUAAAGAAGAAAAAAAAGUUUAAAGAAUUGACAAGUCUAUGUAAUGCUGAAACUGCUUUAAAGUCAAAUAAAAACAAAAUGGAUGCCAUCCAUCCAACUUAUUGGGAGAGUAAUUAGGAAUUCUUCUGACCGAUUAAAGAAAACAUCCACUAAUAUGAAUAUCAAUCAAUGAUCGGCUUAA